rnacentral:rRNA from 1 species
AUGAAGAAGGAUCUGUGGCAGGCGGCGGCGGCGGUGGUGCCGGAUCUGUCGCUGGCGUUGGCGCCGGCGAGCAGCAGCCAAGAGCGGGACGAGGACCCUGUUCCGAUGGCGUGCGUGGACGGCAAGCCGGUGCGGCUGUUCCAGUGCCUCUUCUGCGACAAGACGUUCCUCAAGUCGCAGGCGCUCGGCGGCCACCAGAACGCGCACCGCAAGGGCCGCCUCGACGGCCUCCUCUCCGACCCCUACAGCAACGACAGCCUGUUCGGAGGCGCCCCCGUCGCGGCGGCGUCCACCGGGCCGUCGUGCUAUUUUGGCACCUCCAUCGUCUCGCACGGCGGCGCUGGCGUGGCGGCGGCGCCAACGGCCGCCGAUGCCUGCAGGCCAGAGAGGAGGGGGUUGGGCGGCAGGGCUCCGCGGUUCGCGGAGCACGCGCUGCCCCUGGACCCGUAUGCUGGAGGCGACGGGGUGGUGGGCUGGCCAAGGGCCUCCGUCGCAAGCGGCGCCGGCGAGGCGUUGGACCUCGAGCUGCGCCUUUAG